rnacentral:lncRNA from 10 species
ACAUGAUCUUUUAAUUCACUCCCCGGCUUCUGUGGUUUCCUUCCAUGGGGAGCGAGCUCAGCCUGCUGAGACACUCCCGGCUCUUCACCUCAGUACAUCUUUAGAGGGAGAAGCAUCUGAGUGGGGAAUUGGGAGGAGAAACUGGGCAUGCACGGCCCUCCCUGUUCCCACCACCUCCUCCCCUUUGGGGGCUUCACUGUCUCACUCUAUGAGCUUUACAGGGGCUGUGAAGAUCCAGGGAUCCUGGCGGCCAGAAUUUGGAAACCAUCUACUCACCGUUCUUGUUCCUGUGAAUCAAGUGGUGAGCUGCAGCUUGGAAGAAACAAAAAGUGAUGCAACAUCUGGUGGAGGCAAACCAGUGUUACAACCCAUUGGAAUGGCUGACAGCAAUCAAACUCCAAACAGUGCUGCAGACCAAACCACGCAUGAACACGCCUUUCUUCCGAGGACCCUUAGAUCAACCCCAGGAGGAGCCCUAAGUGCUGUUCCCCACAUUACGCCCCUUUUCAGUAGGAAGUAGCCAGGAAGAGUCAUCACCGAACACCCCCUAACACCAGUUAGUGUUACCACUCCAGAGGGAGGAAUGAUAUAGGAGUUAAGAAGAAAUCACUUAGGCAAAUAGUAAGGGUAUGUGAGUCCUCAGUAACGCUUUUCUAUUUAAUGAAAAGCAGCUGCAAACCAUUUUCUAACAAAGAACCGCCUGUAAAGUCUAGCUGCAGACAUAGCUGGGAGCUUGCACAGGUGAAUGCCAGCAAGAACUAGGAACUAGACAUGUUCAAGAUGGUGGCCCCACCUUCCCUUCUCUGUCAGCCACGUGUAAAGAGCAAACAAGAUGGUGGCGAUCAACUGGAAAGCCCACUUGCAUAGUCCAGCCACCUGAGAGAUGAUAUUCCUAUCUCUGUGCCUCAAAUUCCAGAUUUUCAGGGAAGGAGGUCUGGCCCAUCUGGAUCAGGUGUCCAAUCUUAAGUCAAUCAGUCAAGGCCAGGGAAGUGCGAUCAUAUUGUACUAAGUUGUUGCUGAAAACCAAAAUGUGGGAGGAGUUAUGAAAGAGAAGGGACAGGGAUUCGUUAUUGUGAACAGAUUGGACACAUGAAAAGGUAUCCACUACUGUUUAGUUUUUCUUAUUUAUGUCUGGGUUUAUUACAUUGUGGACAGAAGAUGUAG